CAAGAUGAUGACAACAAAUUUCGGAUAGCUAGCUUAGGCUGUGCGCGUUCCACAAUUUACCAUCUUUCGGGACUGAUU
rnacentral:snoRNA from 1 species